UACGUAGGGGGCAAGCGUUGUCCGGAUUCAUUGGGCGUAAAGAGCUCGUAGGCGGCUUGGUAAGUCGGAUGUGAAACCUCCAGGCUCAACCUGGAGUCGCCAUCCGAUACUGCCAUGGCUAGAGUCCGGUAGGGGCCCACGGAAUUCCUGGUGUAGCGGUGAAAUGCGCAGAUAUCAGGAGGAACACCGAUGGCGAAGGCAGUGUGCUGGGCCGGCACUGACGCUGAGGAGCGAAAGCGUGGGGAGCGAACAGG
rnacentral:rRNA from 1 species